rnacentral:tRNA from 1 species
GACAAGGUGGCUGAGUGGUGAAGGCCCUGGACUGCUAAUCCAUUGUGCUGUGUAUGUGUGGGUUUGAAUCCCACCCUUGUUG